rnacentral:rRNA from 1 species
UACAGAGGUCUCGAGCGUUGUUCGGAUUCAUUGGGCGUAAAGGGUGCGUAGGUGGUCUGGUAAGUCGGAUGUGAAAUCCCGGAGCUUAACUUCGGAACUGCAUUCGAUACUGCCGGACUGGAGUACUGGAGAGGAGAUCGGAAUUUACGGUGUAGUAGUGAAAUGCGUAGAUAUCGUAAGGAAGACCAGUGGCGAAGGCGGAUCUCUGGACAGUUACUGACACUGAGGCACGAAGGCCAGGGGAGCAAACGGG